rnacentral:rRNA from 1 species
UACGGGGGGGGCGAGCGUUGUUCGGAAUUACUGGGCGUAAAGGGCGCGUAGGCGGUUGGAUAAGUCAGCUGUGAAAACCACGAGCUCAACUUGUGGCCUGCAGUUGAGACUGUCUGGCUAGAGUGUGGGAGAGGGAAGUGGAAUUCCUGGUGUAGCGGUGAAAUGCGUAGAUAUUGGGAAGAACACCAGUGGCGAAGGCGGCCAUCUGGACCGGAACUGACGCUGAGGCGCGAAAGCCAGGGGAGCGAAUGGG